AUGUCCCCGCAGGCCAACAAGGCCGCCCUCGUCACGGCCUACUACCUCGUCUUCGGCAGCAACCGCGCGGCCGCCCGCUUCGCCGAGCUAGGGCAGUGCUCAUCGUUGUGGAGCUCGUCCUGGACGCUGACAAGAGGACGAGCGAGAAGGCACUGGCCGUGCUGGACGGCGUCCUGUGCUGACACCGGCCUUGAGUCCGUGCGUGCGCACGCGCUGGUCGUGCCGUGCUGGUCAAGAAGAUGUUGCGUCUCUGCGCUCUGGCGCCUCUGCCGUGCCGCGGACACUGGCGCCGGCGCGUGCUGCGACGAGGCGCUGCGUGUGGGCACCUUCAAGAAGCUGCUCCAGGUGGGCUGCGGCGGCGUGACCAAAGAUCGGGCCAACGAGCUGCUCAAUGGUUUCAGGGGCAGCGUAGAGUGCAUCGAGACGAUGGACUUCAGGGAGCUCAAGAGGCCAUUUUGA
rnacentral:rRNA from 1 species